ACGAACGCUGGCGGCAGGCCUAACACAUGCAAGUCGAGCGAGGACUUCGGUUCUAGCGGCGGACGGGUGAGUAACGCGUGGGAAUGUGCCCUUCUCUACGGAAUAGCUCUGGGAAACUGGGAGUAAUACCGUAUACGCCCUAUUGGGGAAAGAUUUAUCGGAGAAGGAUCAGCCCGCGUUGGAUUAGGUAGUUGGUGGGGUAAUGGCCUACCAAGCCGACGAUCCAUAGCUGGUUUGAGAGGAUGAUCAGCCACACUGGGACUGAGACACGGCCCAGACUCCUACGGGAGGCAGCAGUGGGGAAUCUUAGACAAUGGGGGCAACCCUGAUCUAGCCAUGCCGCGUGAGUGAUGAAGGCCUUAGGGUUGUAAAGCUCUUUCAGCUGGGAAGAUAAUGACGGUACCAGCAGAAGAAGCCCCGGCUAACUCCGUG
rnacentral:rRNA from 1 species